rnacentral:rRNA from 1 species
GAUGAACGCUGGCGGCGUGCUUAACACAUGCAAGUCGAACGGGAAUUACUUUAUUGAAACUUCGGUCGAUUUAAUUUAAUUCUAGUGGCGGACGGGUGAGUAACGCGUGGGUAACCUGCCUUAUACAGGGGGAUAACAGUCAGAAAUGGCUGCUAAUACCGCAUAAGCGCACAGAGCUGCAUGGCUCAGUGUGAAAAACUCCGGUGGUAUAAGAUGGACCCGCGUUGGAUUAGCUAGUUGGUGGGGCAACGGCCCACCAAGGCGACGAUCCAUAGCCGGCCUGAGAGGGUGAACGGCCACAUUGGGACUGAGACACGGCCCAGACUCCUACGGGAGGCAGCAGUGGGGAAUAUUGCACAAUGGGGGAAACCCUGAUGCAGCGACGCCGCGUGAAGGAAGAAGUAUCUCGGUAUGUAAACUUCUAUCAGCAGGGAAGAUAAUGACGGUACCUGACUAAGAAGCCCCGGCUAACUACGUGCCAGCCGCCGCGGUAA